rfam:Oryza sativa (indica cultivar-group) chromosome 2, whole genome shotgun sequence.
UUUAAGCGCAAUCAUAAAUUUAUGUGUCCAUUUUUUAUCGUUAGUCUUAUUGAAAUUUUUUUAUGAUUAGUAUUUGUAUUGUUAUUAGAUGAUACAACAUGAAUUGUACUUUAUACGUGACUUAUAUAUUUUUAUUUUUUUUCAAAAAGAAUGAAAUAAGAUGGAUGACUAAGUUUAGACACGAAAACUCAUGAUUACGCUUAAA